rnacentral:rRNA from 1 species
UAGUAUAAAUUUAUUYUUUAUUUUUGGUUAAGUAUGAUUUUUUAUUUUUUUUUUUUUGUUUUAUUUUAGGUAAAAUUUUAAUGAGUUUUGGUUUUGAAUUAUGCUGUUAAGAUUUGGGAAGCGACUUAGAUUAGUACCUAAUUAGUUAAAAUUUAAAAGUUCAGGAGUAAAGUGGUGUUUAAACUGAAAGAAUAUUGGCAGAUUUUCUAAAUUAUCUUUGGAGGUUGAGUGAUAAUUGAGAGCCCUCAUUAACGACUUUUUUAGUUGGCUCAUGUAUGAUCGUUUAUUUUUUUCUUAAGGAAAAAAAUAAAAAUUUUUAAAUUUUAAAAAUAGAUAUAUAUUUGGUGUAUAAGAUAGUUAUAUUUGACCUACAAUAUUUAAAGAUUUUGGAUUGUUAAUAUAGUGUUAAUUUGAAAUUGUAAAAGACAGUAAAAAAAUUUUUAUGUUUUUUUGAAGAGUAUUUAGAAGUGGUACAAAUCAUCCNUCAAUUGCCUAAA